CAUCACUUUUCAACAACUAAAGUACAAGUUGUUUACACGUAAGACCCUCUUUUGACGAUGCUCACCCGCAUAUCUCAGAUCUCACAUGAAGCUUUGGACCUCCGCUCGCCAGGUUCUCCUUCCAGCUCUCUGCCGGGCCUCCUCUGCUCUGCUGCCCUCACCUCUCUCACUCUCACACCUUCUUUUCUUCUGCCUUUGCUCUUCGUUCUACAGCUUAUGCUUAUUUCGAUUUCAAUUUUCUGCAUUGGAAGAGGCAUUGCUUUUCUACUCAACCUGCACUAGAACUUCCGGUCGGUAAGAUCGUGGAUGUGCCAUUGGCACAAACUGGUGAAGGUAUUGCAGAAUGUGAACUUCUCAAAUGGCAUGUCCAAGAGAGCUACUAGAUUCUGAUCUUGAAAAAGGGAAACGUGCUACAGUGUUAUGAACACCUGCUAUAAGGAGUCUUGCAAAGCACCAUGGUAUAGACAUAAAUGAAGUAUGUGGAACUGGAAAAGAUGGAACGGUAUUGAAAGAAGAUAUGCUCAAUUUUGCUGCUAAGAAGGGAAUAAUUAGAAAUGUAUCUGCUGCUUUGCAUGCUGAUAAUGUAGAGAAGCCUCAAGGAGCAGAAGGAUAGAGUGUGACACCUGGUAUAAAUCACAUUGAGAGGAUAGGAUACUUCCCCUAAGGGGAUACCAAAGAGCAAUGUAAAAUCAAUGUCUCUGGCUGCCAAGGUCCCACAUUUCCAUUAUGUAGAUGAGAUAAACUGCAAUGCUCUAGUAGAGCUUAAAACAGCAUUUCAGAGAAUCAAUCCUUAUCUAGAUGUCAAGCACACUUUUCUGUUAAUAUUAGUCAAAUCAUUGUCAAUGGCCCUUACCAAGUACCCCUCUUUGAAUAGUUGCUUCAAAGAGGAUUCAAUGGAGGUAAUAUUCAAAGGUUCAGACAACAUUGAAGUUGCCAUGGCUACUCCAAAUGGUCUAGUUGUACCAAACAUAAAGAAUGUCCAGUCUCUUUCAAUCUUGCAGGUUAGUUUUCAAUCUUAUGAUUGCUUUAUGCACACAUUGUUAUUUCGAUGAAACUGCAUGUCAUCAGUUAGAGAGGUCUGGAAGAUAAAUAUGAUUCAUAAUUUGAACUGCUUGAACAACAUAUAUUUUAGUUCUUGACUUACCAUUUUUCUCUUUCGCUGGGCUGGUGGUAUUGGACUCUACUCUGGAAUGGAGACUUGCGAGAAAGAAAAUAAUUUAUGAAAAUAUUAACCUAAUUCUCUAAAAUAUAUUAAUUAUGUGCUUAAUUUGAAACUUUUUAUUAAAAAUAAAUUUUUUGAACUUUCUAAUGUAUAUAUGAGAAAAUUUUAUUUUUUCUAAAAAAAAUUGUAUUCUCUUCUUGUAUGAUCACUUU